rnacentral:lncRNA from 1 species
UGGUCUUCGCUGCCAGAAUCUAAGUGGAAAGGAAAGAUUAGGAGAUUCCAAACGGAGCAGCCAGAUUCCACCAGGGAGGGGGGAAAAAAGCCCUCUCCAAGAGGGGUAGAAAAAGUGAACUUCAAGAAUUUUUGAGAAAAACUGAUUUGCAUUGGAGGGGAAACUACAAAUGCUGACUGCUUCAAUCAUGCACAAUUGUGGAAAGAAAGCAAGAUCUGCAGUGCAAAUUAAUAUAUUAAAAGUCAAGAGAAGUCUACUAGGAAACAAAUCAUUAACCUGUAUUAAUCCUAGUAUAUCCCAAAUGUUUUUAGCCCUCAAUUUCCCUUUUUAUAAUACAUACUGAACACUCUUUGUUACACUGUUGCAACGCAUUUUCUAAAUUCCAAAAGUAAAAUUAUUAUUUUUGUUGUUGUUGUUGAUUUCUCUUCUGUUUUUUGAUAUUUCUAUUAGCCAGAUCACAAAUCUGUAUGCUGGAAUAUCAUAUCUGGAGAGAAAUUCUGGUUUGUGCUGUAAUAGAAAUUUCUAAUCUCCAUUUUGAACUUCUGUGAUGGAAGAAAGAUCUAUCACUAAGCAAUAAACAUGUUUUCAUUUU